UUUUUAAAAUUCAAGAGCAAAUAUAUUAAAAUUGGAAGGAUACACCAAAGAUCAGUAUAGCUUCUGUGCAAGGAUGAUAUGCAAAUUUAUGAAGUGCUCCAUAUUUUU